AGCUGAGUCACUUGGUUGAGGACGUGCAGUGUUUGCUGAAGUACAAUGCGUACCUCUCCCCCCGAGUUUUAUUGAGAGCGGUGAAGUGAACAUAGUGCAAGUUACAUAAGAUUAAUAGCGUUUCAAUGGUAUCACCUGUUUUCCAGCUUUCAGACUGUAUGGACACUCCCUGGAUAGGUCAUCCUUCCACAGUGAGGUGGUACAAGGCGUGGCUGGAGUUUUGCAACCUGGAGGCGGAUACGAGUCUAAUUUCCAUUCGCUCUAAGGUCCUGUGCUCCCAGCACUUCGCACCAGUUGCUUAUUUGCGCACAGGAAGGCUUCGGUGGGAUGCAGUUCCUACAUUGAAGCGCACACUGCAUGGCGUUGGAGGAAGUAGUGCCUACGCCAAUCAGAGCAGACUUGAAAGCAGUGGGCCUUCAACGGAGGAACGUGUGCAAGCUGUGGUAGCCUGCGAUGACGACAGCACAGGAGCAAUAAACCUUCACCAGAUGAGUCAUCCUUGCCAUGCUGAAGUGUGGUACUGAAGAAAGUCAGCAACAGCGUGAUCUGUCUCAUCAGGACCAUAGCUACGCACGACACGCACCAGCCUUGUCAACACAGAGCACUGUUGUCUCCCCACUAGCUGCAGUUGUCACUCCUCAGCCA